ensembl:lncRNA
CAAUUGCUGCAUUUGAGGUUGUGUUAAUACACAAUUAGUGUAUUAAUUUUUCUGCAAUAAUGCUUUGCUGGUCUCAUGGAAUAGGAGAAAUGGGAGCAUUGAUUACACAGCAGAAAUCAAUAUCAGCCAUGCAACUGACUUAGAAUACAUCAAAAACUUCGUUCUUUGAGUUUAUCAUUAUGUGAACAGGGCAGGGCAAGACAUGGAUCAGGAUUGAGACAUCUGCCCUUGAAGACUUGAGAAACAAUGUGAAUAAGGACAGAUGCAAUGAAAUGGUGAAGAUGAAGAAAGUUGCGUGAUGUCAUGAAGAGGCCAUAGUUCUUAUCCCAGGAAGCAUGUGCUUUGUUCCUACCUUAGCCCAGUAUGUUCAAAUGUUGACAUCCCUGGAGACAUGCUCUUUGCCUGAGGAGUCACUGGAGGAAAAAGAGACAAAAUGCUGAAGCAGGAAGUAUAUUGAGGAUGACUUGUGACUAAAAAGCUAGAGUCUGAGCAGAAAAGUAACAGCUACAGGUCUCCAGUGAGUUCUACAAAGGAUACACCGACAAUUAAGACACUGUCCUGGGGUGUGGGAUGUAAAGAUGUGUGUCCUGCUUCAAUGAGCAUAAAUAGCUGGCUUGAUAUAGAUUCCUCUGAACUAUGCAUAGAGACUGGAUCUUCAGUCUGUCUGAGGCCAGAACAGCCCCUUAACCUGGAGGCAAGAGUUGUCUAUUGGGCAGUGUACAAAUGGAAUAUCUGUAAUGGACUGGGCUGGAAUCCAUGUGGUGUCUGCUACCUGAAAUAGUGACAGUCCAUUAGAAACACACUUUCUACUUUUGGUGCCCAAUCAAGUCUCUGUUGACAAUGUCCAUCCCUCUUGACUAGAAGACAUUUUCUGCUCUGAACUGUAAACACACAACUCUGAACUUCUCUUUACAUCAGUGAGAUAAAAAUAACUCAGACUUCUCUCUUUCACCUGAAAAUGGGUCAUAAUUCCCCCUAUCUUCCAAGGAUUUGGGAGUGGGGCAUCACUUCCAACUUUUUUUCCUUUAAUGUGCCAAUAAAACUCUAGAUUCCUGUGAGAGGAGAAAGAAAUAAAUCUCUACAUAGAGGCAUGUUAACAUAAACUCAUGCAGUAGGUGAAGUGUCACUGAACUGUUGUGCAGUUUUCUCUAGGAGCGGUCUCUACUGGACCAUGCCCAGAGGGAAAAAGAAAGCAUCAGGCCUGGUGGUGCUGUAGAGGAAGAGAGAUGCUGAAGGAAUUAUUGGGUCCAAAUAGCUGUUGGAUAUUCAUCCAGGGUUCCUAGUGGAACCGACUAUUUAUAUAGUCUGUUAUAUAUAGAAUAUAGAACUUUUAUAUAGAACUUUUAGUAUAUAGAACUGUUUAUAUAGUAUAUAGAACAGACUAUUUAUAUAGUCUGUUAAGAACCAAUGUUAAAAUUAGUCCAAUGUUCUGGGAAUUAUAAUAAGUUAGGUAGAUAAUCCAUCCACAAGACAAUAUUGUCGCUACUAACAGCCAAACAAUGUUGGAGUCGUGUUCUGUUAAGAAGUCUUCCAACUGAGUGAUACUUGGGACAAAGCUAUCAUUUUUUCUUUGAUCCAUUGCUAAAUUGUUUCUGUACCAGCACCUAUAGAAGCCAUCCCCCUCCGCAGCAGCUCCACUAGGAACCCACUGUCCAAGUGGCUUCUGGACAGUGGAAUAGUUGACAGAUGGCAGACUGGUUUAGGUUGGGAGGGACCUCUGGAGGUCAUCUGGUCCAAAUCUCAAACUCUUUACCUCAGAACACAGGAAUUACAGGCAGGGGCAAACAGCUCUCAUACAACAGGUUCAGGAUCUUGUUUGACUCUUUCAGCAAAUAUGUCUUAUAUUCUUGAACCCACAAAACAUCUCUUCCUCUAAAUAUAUUGUCUCUGUAAUUAUAGUGGAUCUGAUACCAAUUUUUAUUUUUUUUCUCAACUGAAAACUGAGUUUAUAUGCUCAUAUUUUUGCCCAGAUAGCAGUGCACACUCACUCAAAACCUCUAUUGUGGAGUACUUCAAAACUUAACACUGUUUGAAACGCCUUGAAGCUGCAACUGACAUGAUCUUCUUUAAAACUUGUGUUCAUAUGUGUACUCUUACUUUUAGUACAAUCAUAGGUUAUCAAACCAGAAUGCCAAUCAUUUACUUCCUUUCUUACUUCUGUUUAUAUUUCAGCUGUUUACCUGACUGUAGGUUACUUUUACAUGCCUUUACUUAUUGAAAAAGAAAAGAAAAAAAAAAAAAAGGGGAAACAGCAAGCAGUAUAGCUUUUUGCAGCAAACGUGCAAGUAUGGGUAAUUAUGAAGUAGAAAAGUGAUCAAAAGUGAUCAUUUAAUCUCCAUAAGUUGAAAAAGGGAAAUUCCACGGCAGCAAUAACUUUCCUUUUCAUUUAGGCACUGGAGUAGCAUUUUCUGUAUUUUGUUAUGUUGGGAAUGUUAAUGUACAAGACAGGUCUGGUCAUCCAUCAUCCAGAAAAAUGAAUUUGACAAAUUUGAACAGUUUAGAAAACAUUUACUGUCAAAAUGUUCAGGAUCUGGAUAACCUCUUUAAGGCUGCAACAAGCUUGUUCUAAGGAAGUGAAAGGAAGAUAGCCUGCAGCUGUGUACGAGGUGCAAGUAGAGGCAGGAAGUAGAUUCUCAAGGUAAAGAGCUAUGUGUGCACUGAAUAGGAAAUUAGAUCAGGAAUUAGAUUCCAAACAACCAAAAGAAUAGCUAUAUAAUACAGUCUUUUUAAUGGAAAAUAUAUCAGCAGCAAAUCUGAAUGAGUUUUGUUAUUUUAUAAGUAUAGUGGAUGUAUGAAUGUGCCAUGUGAUAUAUUCAUGCAAUGACAAUACUGAGGACAUUCCUUCUAGUCUCAUGUUGAUUCUCUUACACUCCAUUUCCAGGAGCAGAUUUUUCAGAAACUUAUUUUUCUUUUUUCAAGCCUUACUUCUACAAAUGUAAAGCCUUUGAGAUUCUGUUCUUUACGUAUGUUUUUCUUAGAAAAAGAAUUAAGCAUCUUUCUUGAAAUCUCUACAUAUCACAUAGGGAAAAAUCAAAGAAAUACAAAUAAUUUAUUGAUGUAUUUUUACUUCCUCUAGGUAGCGUCUUAUAGAUGCAUUAGCCUUUUAAACAGUAUUGUUUAUGAAAGACUUAUUAGAACUUGUUUGUUUUUGUUUGGGUUUGGUUUGUUCUGUUUUUCUUUAUGUUAUGCAUUCACUGACCUAUUUUGUUGUAAUAGAUGUAAAAAGACAUUGGUAAUCUCCACCUAAUGAGACUUACCUAAUUGAUUAUUGAAUGUAAUUUUCUACAUUUUCUCUUUUAAAACAGGUGGGAAUGAAAAAUAAAUGAGAACCUCUUUCAUGAAGUUCUUUUUAUUUGUUAUCAGUCUUUUCAUUGAUGUCAAAUCCUACAACUGAAAUUUCAGUUAAGAGCAAUAUAUACCACACUCCUAGAUGCAGUUUCAUGCAUACCAUAAUAAUGAGAAAGACAGUUAAAUUUAAUAUUUCAUAUAAAAAGAUUACAAUUAUCUCUUAUCUAGCAUUCUUGCUACAGAAACACUGUUUUGGGAGGCUAAGGAGAGAGCAGGAGAUGGCUUUGAUCAUAUCCGUACUGGAAAUUCUGAGAGAUUUUUUUUAUUCCUUUCCAAAUUUUUAUGCAUAAAUUAAACAGGAGCAUGUUGUGAACCCCAGUCCCAGGUUGUCACAGAUUCCCCAGGGUUCGGAGAACCAGAAUCUAGUCAGUUUGCUGGCUGAGCCGCGUGGGGAGUGAUGACAUGACCCAAUAUGAGUGCAUCAAAAUCUCCAUUUAUUAUCCGUUGCUUACACACAUAUAUAGAUUGUGGCGAAUGUGCAUCAGCUUGUAAUUGGUUGAAGCAUUAUGAGAGCCCCCGGCCCUACAAUACCAUUGGCCGUGGAAUCACACAUCUUGCUCGCAUAGCUACUGAUACAGCAUUAAUCUUCGCAUUGUUCUUUGUAUUCCAUUACUCAGUCUCUUCCCAGGCUAGCUUCCCCCUUAUCUUAGCUACAGCCUCAGCUUCUUCUUUGUGCUUUCAUAGCCUCAAGGUCUCCUAGCCUGAGUUGUGCACAUAGCACCCGAGCUUAGCAAGUUCUUGCUCCCUGAGCUAUCAUAGCAAGCUAGUACUUUUCCAUUUGUAUUUUUUGCCAAUUGUUAGGCCUGUCCUGCUUGUACAACUGUUCAAGAGACCCAUGGCCCCCUUGGUUGUGGAGCCAUUCCUCAACAGGAGAAUACUCUCUAAAGGAUCUGGAGAUCAAAAUAAUUUCCAUUAUCAUCUGAAGAAGCCAAUAGUACGUUUUAUUAUACUUCCCUUCAGCUAAAUGAUUUGUUUCAAGUAGCUCCUUUCAUGUUGUGCAUUUCUAAGGUAAUGUAUGGAUACCAUAAUGAAACUUGAAGAAAGGUGUUUCAUUAAGAAAUUAAUUCUAGAAACUAAAUAUGAAUUAUCUUACUGAUUUGGAUAGCAUACUUGUCUGGUGAAUUACUUUCAGACGUAGAGAGUGUAUAAACAGGAGGGGGUAUGUUUGUCUGUGAGGGUGGAUAGUGACAGGACAAGGGGGGGGGUGGUUUUAAACUAAGAACAGGGAAGGUUUAGUUUAGAUAUCAGGAGGAAGUUUUUCAUAUGGAGGACGGUGGUGCACUGGAACACGUUGCCAAGGGAGAUUGUGGACGCCCCAUCCCUAGAGGCAUUCAAGGCCAGGCUGGAUGUGGCUCUGGGCAGCCUGAUCUAGUGGUUGGUGACCCUGCACAUGGCAGGGGGGUUGAAAUGAGAUGAUCAUUGUGGUCCUUUUCAACCCAGGCCAUUCUAUGAUUCUAUGACUCCAACACUGUUUUACAUUAAGUAUUUACUAUGUAGUUAACAGAAGCCAACAGCAGAAUCCUAGUAGCAUUUAGAAGAAUUUAAGCUAAGAUCUCUUUAGAGAAUGUUUCAAAUUCAUCUACAUCUGCAUCUAGUAUAAAAGAUUUGUAGGAAGAAUUAGGAACACCAUUCUGCAUCCUCUUUCUAUUUCCAAUCAUGUUAGUUGUUCUUACUGAUCACCUCAAAUAGCAACUGUAAUUUUUAUUCAUAUGCAUAUUUUUCUGCCUGUGGCUUUUCCUCUUGCCUCAGAGCUCUGUAACUGCCUCCAAGACCUGACAAAAGCUUUGCAUACAUAUAAGAUACUCCAAAAAUGCAGUAUUAAUUAAUUAUAAUGCACAGCUCUAAAUUUUGCAUAAUUCCAAUUCACUAUUAUAAAAUUUGUGAACUGUCAAAAAAAUACUCUUAAUGAAAAAAAACCUUCUAAAUUACAUAUUAUUUACAAUUAAGUUGGCUUAGAAGAUCCCAAUAACAGGUCAGAAUUUCUUAUCAAGGCAGAGUGGUGCUAAGAUUUAUGUUAACUCACUCUUUCAACAAAAUGUGUUAGUGCUAUCCUUCUGUUUAAUGCAGCCCAAGGAUUACAAAAUCCCCAGAUGUCAACUCCUUGAUUACAAGGAAGCAAUUAGUAAUAGAAUCUAAAUUUAUAUUCCUCAAGAUGAAGGAAUAAAACUCCUAUGAGAGUAAUUUCUGUGGGCUGUGUUUCAGAAGAAAGCACACUUUCAACAACAAAAACCUCUACUGUGAAAAAGUGCCAUAAUAUUAAAUUCAUACCAGAUAGGGCUGCUAUAGUCUAAAAAUAAAUGUAUAAAUAUCACGGAGUUUUCCGAGUCCGUGACAAGGGGGCCACAGGCUCAGGGAAAAAGAAAAGAAAAGAAAAGAAAAGAAAAGAAAAGAAAAGAAAAGAAAAGAAAAGAAAAGAAAAGAAAAGAAAAGAAAAGAAAAGAAAAGAAAAGAAAAGAAAAGAAAAGAAAAGAAAAGAAAAGAAAAGAAAAGAAAAGAAAAGAAAAGAAAAGAAAAGAAAAAAGA